rnacentral:rRNA from 1 species
AUUGAACGCUGGCGGCAUGCCUUACACAUGCAAGUCGAACGGCAGCACGGGGGCAACCCUGGUGGCGAGUGGCGAACGGGUGAGUAAUACAUCGGAACGUAUCCAGUCGUGGGGGAUAACCAGUCGAAAGAUUGGCUAAUACCGCAUGAGAUCGAAAGAUGAAAGCGGGGGACCCGCAAGGGCCUCGCGCGAUCGGAGCGGCCGAUGUCGGAUUAGCUAGUUGGCGGGGUAAGAGCCCACCAAGGCGACGAUCCGUAGCUGGUUUGAGAGAACGACCAGCCACACUGGGACUGAGACACGGCCCAGACUCCUACGGGAGGCAGCAGUGGGGAAUUUUGGACAAUGGGGGCAACCCUGAUCCAGCCAUGCCGCGUGUGUGAAGAAGGCCUCGG